GAAAUGCGAUACGUAGUGUGAAUUGCAGAAUUCCGUGAAUCAUCAAAUCUUUGAACGCACAUUGCGCUCGAGGCUUCGGCCAAGAGCAUGUCUGCCUCAGCGUCGGGUUAAUAUCGCUCCCUACUCACCCUGUGUGAAUAGUGUGCGGACCUGGCUGUUCCAGCUAAGCGCUACCGAGAUGGCCUGCGCUCUGGAUCAGCUGAAGUACAGAGGUUAACCAAGGACCCGUUAAGGGCCACAACUGGGUAGGCACUUGUGCUAUAUUCUUAGUUGUUGGCCUGGGACCAUGUGUCUAACCCUCUAACCAGGAAUUAACCUUAUUUUCUCGACCUGAGCUCAGGCAAGAACACCCGCUGAACUUAA
rnacentral:misc_RNA from 1 species